rnacentral:lncRNA from 1 species
UUUUUUAUUUUUGGAAAAUUGAUUGUAGGGCGGGUCAUACCCUAAUUCGCCUCUACAAAUCGAUUUCUAGGAGUACGUGUACCCAUUACCCAUCCCUAGAAAUAGUUGUUUGCAGGAGUGGGUACCACACCCGCUCUAGAAAUAUAUUUUUACCCGCCUCUAAAAAUUAUUUUUUAUAGUGUGACUACACACCUGUUUAUACUGAAUUGCCAAGUUCAACAAUUUGGUGGUGUUGCCAACAACUACAGAAAAACUAUUUGGAACGCAGGAAAACUAGCUAAUGUGGCAGUACAACAUGUAAAAGUGAAAUGAACCAAUCUUCCUGAAUCGACUUCUACUUGGGAAGGUCUCUAUGUUCUGCGCCACAGGUUUCCCAAUUGCCAUGCUGGGGAAGGUCUCUAUGUUCUGCGCCACAGGUUUCCCAAUUGCCAUGCUGGGGUUUCUCUAUGUUCUGCCGUCUUCAGCAGGGGGGCAUGUCACGCGGCUAGCGACAAGUGAAGAAGGCAUUUUCCUGAAAGGCGUGUUCGAAGGUGGGAAACAACUGUAGUAGCAUGUGUGGGUUUUACUCUGUAAUUUCAGAUGAGUCUGGCCUUUGGGCUGUAGCUUGUGCAUUUGGCUUAAAGCCUUGAGCCUGUAACGUGAACAUGUACC